CUCAGUCUUUUGACAGCUGGCCCAGGGUCAUUUGGUUCAGUGCUGAAGUGGGCCCGGCGGACAGAACACUUGGAGGCCUCUGAAUGAUCCAGCUGGGGAAACAGCUGAAAAUUUGCAUUGCUGGACUGAAUUCCUAAUCCACUGUGUGGGAGUCUCAGGAGCCCCAAAGGCAUUCUCUGACCCUC
rnacentral:lncRNA from 1 species